UGCCAAUUUGUAUUUUGAUGGUAUACAAUUUGAAAGCAUGGGAAAAAAAUAUGUGGAAAAUAAUUUCAAAUACUUGAAAAAUAUUUUUGAGAACAUAUUUAAAAUGUGGGGGGUUCUUUACUUGUGAUAAAGACAAAAUUAGACUUACUAUCUAAUUUAAAUUUGAAACUACAAGAUAUGAAAUUUAAUGACAUUCUUGUAUAAUGUUAGAC
rnacentral:lncRNA from 1 species